rnacentral:rRNA from 1 species
AGCAGCCGCGGUAAUUCCAGCUCCAAUAGCGUAUAUUAAAGUUGUUGCAGUUAAAAAGCUCGUAGUUGAAUUUCGAGACCAAUCUGCCGGUCGUGCCUCCGGUACGCACUGGUUUUAUUGGUUUCUCCCUUCUGACGAACCAUGAUGUCAUUAAUUUGGUGUCAUGGGGAAUCAGGACUGUUACUUUGAAAAAAUUAGAGUGUUUAUAGCAGGCUCACGCUUGAAUACAUUAGCAUGGAAUAAUGAAAUAGGACGUUUGACCCUAUUUUGUUGGUUUCUAGGAUCGACGUAAUGAUUAAUAGGGAUAGUUGGGGGCAUUAGUAUUCAAUUGUCAGAGGUGAAAUUCUUGGAUUUAUUGAAGACUAACUACUGCGAAAGCAUUUGCCAAGGACGUUUUCAUUAAUCAAGAACGAAAGUUAGGGGAUCGAAGACGAUCAGAUACCGUCGUAGUCUUAACCAUAAACUAUGCCGACUAGGGAUCGGAUGAUGUUAAUUUUUUAAUGACUCAUUCGGCGCCUUA